rnacentral:rRNA from 1 species
AGCACCGGCUAACUACGUGCCAGCAGCCGCGGUAAUACGUAGGGUGCAAGCGUUAUCCGGAAUUAUUGGGCGUAAAGGGCUCGUAGGCGGUUCGUCGCGUCCGGUGUGAAAGUCCAUCGCUUAACGGUGGAUCUGCGCCGGGUACGGGCGGGCUGGAGUGCGGUAGGGGAGACUGGAAUUCCCGGUGUAACGGUGGAAUGUGUAGAUAUCGGGAAGAACACCAAUGGCGAAGGCAGGUCUCUGGGCCGUUACUGACGCUGAGGAGCGAAAGCGUGGGGAGCGAACAGGAUUAGAUACCCUGGUAGUCCACGCCGUAAACGGUGGAUGCUGGAUGUGGGGCCCGUUCCACGGGUUCCGUGUCGGAGCUAACGCGUUAAGCAUCCCGCCUGGGGAGUACGGCCGCAAGGCUAAAACUCAAAGAAAUUGACGGGGGCCCGCACAAGCGGCGGAGCAUGCGGAUUAAUUCGAUGCAACGCGAAGAACCUUACCUGGGCUUGACAUGUUCCCGACAGCCGUAGAGAUACGGCCUCCCUUCGGGGCGGGUUCACAGGUGGUGCAUGGUCGUCGUCAGCUCGUGUCGUGAGAUGUUGGGUUAAGUCCCGCAACGAGCGCAACCCUCGCCCUGUGUUGCCAGCACGUCAUGGUGGGAACUCACGGGGGACCGCCGGGGUCAACUCGGAGGAAGGUGGGGAUGACGUCAGAUCAUCAUGCCCCUUACGUCCAGGGCUUCACGCAUGCUACAAUGGCCGGUACAACGGGAUGCGACAUGGCGACAUGGAGCGGAUCCCUGAAAACCGGUCUCAGUUCGGAUUGGAGUCUGCAACCCGACUCCAUGAAGGCGGAGUCGCUAGUAAUCGCGGAUCAGCAACGCCGCGGUGAAUGCGUUCCCGGGCCUUGUACACACCGCCCGUCAAGUCAUGAAAGUGGGUAGCACCCGAAGCCGGUGGCCUAACCCCUUGUGGGAUGGAGCCGUCUAAGGUGAGACUCGUGAUUGGGACUAAGUCGUAACAAGGUAGCCGUACCGGAAGGUGCGGCUG